AUGAAAAGAAAAGAGUACUAGAGAAUAGUGGAACAAGCUAUCAAAUAGCGUCUGGUGACUUUCAGCUUCACAAAGACAGGGGAAUCAAGAGUUCAGCAUGAAAACAUUCUCUGAAAUGGUCUACUCAUUGGUUGGAUUUUCUUCUUAAAUUGUAGCUAAUGAGAAUCAAGAUUCAUCCAAUUUUGGCAUAUGAGGAAAAAAAAGAAGCAAGAUUCAUGUCAUAUGGCACAGAAUGAAAUAAUUUUCCAGACGGGCAAUCAAUAUUUCAUUUUAGACCAUGAAAACAGAAGCCCAAGCCUAGGAGACUCCAGCCACCUCCCUUCUCAGCGUAUUUACAUCAGUGGCUGACCAUACAUCGGAGGAAAUCAGGUAACUGCAGAUAAAUGUCACAAUAAAUUCAUGGUCUCCACAACAGCAAGGCGGACCUCACCAUUUCUAAGAAAUCCCUUUUUCUAUGUUUCCUCAGCUCUUUUUCAAGAUCCUUUGGUACUUAUUUCAAACAAACAAGCAAGUGUAAUAAUGCUGGCAUCCAGGACAAGCAGUUUCAAAGGCACCCUGAAAACAACUCUAAAUUCAUGUUGUGACUAACAGAUCAGGGUGAUGAUUAUCAACACAGGACAUCUGAAAGCAUCCUUCUUUAACCAGUCAGGCCUCAGGUAUUGAGGCAAGUAGAAAUGUUCUGGGCCUUGGCUGAGGUGGACCAACCGUAUCUUUGCCUUGCUGUUCAACAUUUUGUUGGGCCUAACUUUAAAAUUCAGCUUACGAUCAGCAAGAAUAGUGAAAGGAGGAAGCUUCCCAGUGUUAGGCACCGAAAAAAAGAUUGCUGCCUGACCAGCCGCUGUAGCAAAAGGCGAUUAAGGGUGUUCCAAAACUUAGUGGGGCCUUAGACAGUUAUUAGACAUUUUUUGGCUUUGGUUUUCUGUAAAAUGUACACAGUAGACCAAUUUAAGAGGCUUGUUGUGAGAAAUGAAUGGAAGAAUAUGUGUAGAGUUUAGGAUAUUACCUGGUCCCUCUUAAGCCCUGAGAUAAAUAUUAGCUAUUAGUUGCUGAUCCCAUUUCCAUCUAUAAUUGUGGCUCCACCUCUCUUCUUACUACCACACCAAAUUUCUGUAAAAUCCUGCCAGUGUUUGUAAUCUCCAUUUCCUCAUCUCUCUGCCAUCUCUUCAUACCCACAAUUUCUUUGGACCUGUCCUCAUUGAGGUCAUCAGCGGCCUCCUUGAUACUAAAUGCCCAGAAUUCUCCCUCCAGGCUUUUACUUGUUUUUUUUGUUUGUUUGUUUUGUUCUGUUUUUUGUGUUUUUGUUUUUAUGUUUAUGUUUGAGAGAGACAGCGCACCAGCGCGGGAGGGGCAGAAGAGGGAGACACAGAAUCUGAAGCAGGCUCCAGGCUCUGAGCUGUCAGCACAGAGCCUGACGUGAAGCUCCAAGCUAGGAGAUCAUGACUUGAGCUGAAGUCAGAUGCGUAACCGACCGAGCCACCCAGGCCCCUACUUUGUUGAUCUCUUAGCAUCACUUGACACUUGACCGCUCUCUUCCCACUAUUUAUGAAGAGGCACACCCCUUGAUUUCCUCUAAUUUUUUAAGUUACAUUUAUAAUCCUCUUUUUCAUGAUUCUAGUCUGCCUAUUUUUUCAAUAUUGGUGUUCUGGAAGAUUCUAUCACAGGGUCUUUCUUUCCUCAUUCUACAUGCUUUUCCCUGGUAUAUCUAAUGUCGUCUCACAAGAUUUCCAUCUCUAUUCUUUAGGGUGAAGACUAAGCUAUUGCAAAAAAAAAAAAAAAAAAAAAAAAAAGAG